UACGUAGGGUGCGAGCGUUGUCCGGAAUUACUGGGUGUAAAGCGCGUGUAGGCGGCAUACCAAGUCUGUUGUGAAAUCGCCCGGCUCAACUGGGCGGGGUCAAUGGAAACUGGUAAGCUGGAGGACGGUAGAGGCGAGUGGAAUUCCCGGUGUAGUGGUGAAAUGCGUAGAGAUCGGGAGGAACACCUGUGGCGAAGGCGGCUCGCUGGGCCGAUCCUGACGCUGAGACGCGAAGGCGUGGGGAGCGAACGGG
rnacentral:rRNA from 1 species